rnacentral:rRNA from 1 species
GCCCUCGAAUGGGAGUUCUCUGAACCUGAAAUUAAGGCCGAUGUUUUUGAUCUGCCUUCAGGGAAGGCACCGGGACCAGACGGUUUCAUGGCUGAUUUCUUCAAAUCCUGCCGGGAUAUUGUAAAGGCUGACCUGAUCGCAACUCUGAAUCAAGCUUUCUCCUUGAGGGCCCAGCGCUGGAAGUUUCUCAACCAGGUCUUCAUCACCUUGCUGCCGAAAUCUGCUGAUGCAUCAAGAGUGAAGGAUUUCAGGCCCGUAAGCCUCAUGCACUCCGUCGCAAAAAUUCUGUGCAAGCUGCUCGCCAACCGUCUCGCGCCCUUCCUGCAUCAGCUGGUGCCCAGCUCCUAG